ensembl:lncRNA
ACAGCAAAGGUUCUUCUUAGUUAAAAACACAACUCAUAAAACAAGACAGCUACCAGGGAGAGUCAACAGCCUGUGUGAAACACCUCUUCUCCCUUUUAACUUGGUAAAGGAAACUAAAGAGCAGAUGAAGUGAGAAGAUGGCCUUUACAAUUCCUACACCUGCGGACUGAGCAAAGAGGAGUUCUGCAUCCAGCCUCGGGCUCCAGCAUCCCACGCGCAGGGCCAAGCCCUGCACAACCAGACAGGUUUGUGUCAUUUAUUUGCUGUCACUGUUUCUUGCUCCCAACAGUUCUACAUUGUCCCAGUAAUUCUACUCCUUUCAUAUUUCUUCUUUUUGUACCUAAAACGUAUAUAUGAACUUCUCUGUUAAUGCUCACAGUUACUAUAAUGGUUAUUAUAAUGGUUUCAAGCAAACAGCUCUUGUUUAAAACAAACAAACAAACAACAACAUCAAAAAAAAAAACAACAACAAAAAACCCUCUAAUGUACUGUAAGUAAAUACUGUAAUUUUAGGAUUGGAAGCCGCUUUCUGUCUACAGGGAAAUAAUUUUUAAGCUUACAUAGUUUGCAUUAAUGUCCAAAAGCAAAUAAAGAUUACUGGAAAUACACUUCUUUGUUUAGGAUAACUUCUGGGUAUGAUGAUGCAUAGGAUUUAUUUUUUUUUUCUUUUUAUUCUUACAGGUUUUUUUUUUAAAAAACAAAACGUCAGCAUUGCCUAUAGAAGAUGCUGAGAGGAAAAAUGAGCUGGAAGGCACAACUGCAGCCCCAGAUCAACUUUUCACUGAGCUUGAGUGUAUCAGAGUAUCCAAAAAUGCGAUGUAGCACUCUCCUUGGGCACAGAAAUCCUGACAAACAGUUCAGAAUAAAAGCAGGACAGGAAAUGAAGGUGAUUGUUUCUAAGGAAAAAAUCAACUUUGAAAAGCACUCUGAAAUUGUCAUACAACCACAGGACAGGAUUAAAACUGUGAUGGCUUCCUAG